rnacentral:rRNA from 1 species
AUUGAACGCUGGCGGCAGGCCUAACACAUGCAAGUCGAGCGAGCGGCGGACGGGUGAGUAAUGUAUGGGGAUCUGCCCGAUAGAGGGGGAUAACUACUGGAAACGGUGGCUAAUACCGCAUACUAUCGGAUGUGCCCAUAUGGGAUUAGCUGGUUGGUGGGGUAACGGCUCACCUAGGCGACGAUCUCUAGCUGGUCUGAGAGGAUGCCAGGCCACACUGGGACUGAGACACGGGCCAGACGCCUACGGGAGGCAGCAGUGGGGAAUAUUGCACAAUGGGCGAAAGCCUGAUGCAGCCAUGCCGCGUGUAUGAAGAAGGCCUUAGGGUUGUAAAGUACUUUCAGCGGGGAGGCGUUACCCGCAGAAGAAGCACCGGCUAACUCCGUGCCAGCAGCCGCGGUAAUAC